UACGUAGGCAGCAGGCGUUGUUCGGAGUUACUGGGCGUAAAGAGUGCGUAGGCGGUCCUGUAAGUUUGGUGUGAAAUCUCCCGGCUCAACUGGGAGGGUGCGCCGAAGACUGCAGGGCUUGAGUAUGGGAGAGGUAAGCGGAAUUCCUGGUGUAGCGGUGAAAUGCGUAGAUAUCAGGAGGAACACCUGUGGUGUAGACAGCUUACUGGACCAUAACUGACGCUGAGGCACGAAAGCGUGGGUAGCAAACAGG
rnacentral:rRNA from 1 species